rnacentral:rRNA from 1 species
AUGUUUUCCAGUUCACGGCAGCCUACGGCUAUCGCUGUUAGUCCUACUUGGGAAACUCCGCCUUCCUCUUCUUGCAUGCCAGGAUCAUCUUCCCCUCGCUCAACUCUGAGCCUUUGUAGCUUCUUGCAUGUGUCUCCGACAACCCCCAAUCCUCUAUCUCCAAUCACAUUUUGCAAUGAGCUGGCAAUGAUCUUCAGUGGUGAGGAAACUGUACAGCAAAUCCAGCUUCUUGAGUACAGCAGAAAAAGGAAAGAUUAUGUGCAUCUCAUUUGUCCCCAUGAAGGUAAGUCCGAAGGAGCAAAGCUUCGAAGGAAGCUUAACAUUUCCAUACUUUUGCUCACUGAUUUCCGCUCCAGCAAAUUCUUGCAAAGAUGUAGCUAUUUGGAAAAAUCCAAUCAAAUCUGA